CGUCAGGUAGCUCAGUGGUUUAGAGCAGUCACCCAGCAAGCGAAAGACCCGAGUUCGAUUCUCGGUCUAGCGA
rfam:Harpegnathos saltator strain R22 G/1 HarSal_1.0_1.contig620, whole genome shotgun sequence.